UAAAGAGUUCUAUAACUCCCAAACCCAUGUGAACAUACCUAACGUUGCCUCGGCAGGUCGCACCUACCUUGUAGCACCCUACCCUGUAGGGCCUACCCGGGAGGUGCGGGUAAGCCUGCCGGCGGCCCACCAAACUCUGUUUGAUAUUGAAUUCUGAACCUAUAACUAAAUAAGUUAAAACUUUCAACAACGGAUCUCUUGGUUCUGGCAUCGAUGAAGAACGCAGCGAAAUGCGAUAAGUAAUGUGAAUUGCAGAAUUCAGUGAAUCAUCGAAUCUUUGAACGCAUAUUGCGCCCAUUAGUAUUCUAGUGGGCAGGACCGUUCGAGCGUCAUUUCAACCCUUAAGCCUUCGUUGCUUAGUGUUGGGAGCCUACGGCAACGUAGCUCCUCAAAGUUAGUGGCGGAGUUGGUUCACACUCUAGACGUAGUAAUUUUUUAUCUCGCCUAUUAGUUGGACUAAUCCCCUGCCGUAAAACCCCCAAUUUAUAUCAAGGUUGACCUCGAAUCGGUUCAGACAAACUCGCUAAAUUGAAGCAUCUUAGUCAGCGAAGGAAAAGAAACCAACAGGGAUUGCCCUAGUAACGGCGAGUGAAGCGGCAGCAGCUCAAAUUUGAAAUCUGGCCCUCG
rnacentral:rRNA from 1 species